UAUCCUCCUCGCUGUGCUGUUAUUCUCUAUGAUCAUGUGUGCUGGAGGACCCGGCUUGUCUGUCUUUUAAAGGACCAUACAGGUGUAUUUGAGAGAGGACAAGUUGACUUCUUGAAUUAACUCGUUUGGUUUAACCAACACUGCAACACUGAGGACAAAAACUAAACUACAAAAACAGCAAAAUAAACUUGUAAAAGAAGCUGUACAAUUUUGACCAAACUAUAUAAUCGAUUAUCAGGAUGUUUGCUCAUUAUAUGCUUUAUUAAAGUUGGUAUUCAUUUGAACAUACACAUGCAAUGGAUAAAUGAUCCAACAUUGUUGUGCAGGAGAGAAGCCCGCCAUGGCUUAGGAAUUACCUUCCCUAUUACAUAUCAGUAACCCAAAAGACAAAGGAUGUAAUGUACGUUAUGUGUCAUUUAUGGAUGUUUCUGUUUUCCUCAAUGUUCAGAAGGAUCACAUUAUGUAUUAUCUUAUAUAUAUUCCAGGCCGACACUGGUUCAGCCAUUGCAUUCAAGUAUAUAAGGCAGCUGCCUGAACUUCAUCAUCAAUCAGAGAAACCACAAGGUUUGCAUCAGUUUCUAUCAGACCUUAGUGUGGUUUUGUUCUCUAUUAUGAUGCAGUGUCAGUGCAGAUUGAUAAGGAAGUGAUUAAAAAAAGGGUGGGUGCCACAUCAUGAUAAUAUGACUUGAUAAGAAUGUAACUCACGCAAGUCUCCAGAGUGUAUUUAUUUACAUUUGGAAUAAAUGGAAACCAGGAAAAGUAGAACGUUUAGCUCAAACUUGAACAAGAGAAGGUGGUUUGCUGAAUGAACGAUUAUAAUGCUGAAUAGUGAUUUGUAGUGAAUGGGCUUCAUUUCUCUAAACCGUUGGUGUGCUUCCCUUAAGUCUCCACCAGCGUUAAUAUUACAUAUGGCCUUUGUUCCUUGUAGGCGUGGCCUCUGGCGGAGGGAGGGUACGUGGUGACGUCACAGGUCAUUCCUCGGUGCGGACGCCAAAAUAAAACGGCUCCAAAAAAAAAAAAAACUUUCCUACCGGACUCACGGUGCGAGACGCCGGGCGGCCGCGGAAUGACGCCGUGAAGAAAAGCCAUUUCUCCCCGUGCGGUUCGUAGCGGCUGGUUCGGGCCGCGCCAUUGUUCGCGUAGCGGAGCCUCCCCCCUCCGCCCCCCCCCCUCUCUCCUUCCAGGGGUCGCAGCGCGAGCGGCAGCGGGCUGUGUCACGAGCGGACUCGCUAGCUAGCGUCAAGUUGUACGAAAAGUGGAGGAGAGGACGGCCGAGCGGGAGCGUAUCCGCCUACACACACCUAUGCGACGGACAGCAGACGCAGCGUUAUUUCACGCCGUCUCCGCUGACGGCCCUGCGGCUUGAAAAAGGCCGGCUCGUGGUUUGUUGACCGGACGGCGAGUAAACCGAGCCCCGCUGUUGGCGUCUGCGCGUGUUUACAAGCCGCUGCUCGCGGCGUCUACGCCCUGUGUUUGUCCCCACGCGUUUCCAUUUGGGUCUGUAUUGUUUCUGGUUGGACACGGAUGAUACUUCCAUCAGCGAGAUAACAUCGGCACAAUGGAGAUAAACCAAAGGGCUAGAAAACGGAUGAUGUGAACAUAGAUAUGGCCAGAAUGAAGAGCUUCGUUGAAGUGGAAUCACCCCCCCCACCCCCCUCUCUCAAAAACUGUUCCUCUGUUCUGAACCUGCGUCUACAUCUUGACAAUCCUCUUUUCUCCCCCCGUCCGGUCUUUGUUUUCUUAUGAGGGAUUUUUAGCAGGACUAAACAACUUUAAUCCCCUUGCAAAAUAUGCUUAUAAAUAGAAGCCUUUCAUUCGACGGCUUAAUGCUGAGCACUGUAUUCACAACCGCAAACAACCCUCCUUUUCCCUCAUCCCUAACACCUUCUGAUUCCCCCCCACCCUUCUAUGAAGUGCCCCGCUUGUCUAAAGCGCUCAUGUCACUUGCAUUCGACAGCCCCCCCCCCCGCCCCUCCUGUCUUUUUCCCUUUCUUCUUCCUCUUUUGGGGACCAACAAACCACAAGGGGUGCCGCUCCAUCCUCUUGCUGCUCAUCAGCCUCAUCAGCUUCUCUUCUGGGGGCGCCAGGAUGACUGGCAUCAUCGACUAAACCUUUCCAUGCGUGUCUCCCCCCCUCCCCUCCCCCCUCUCCUCUUUGUGUUCAGGGGAGGGUGGAGACGAGAGAGAUGACCGUGGGAGCUGGGAGCUUCGUGGGU
ensembl:lncRNA